UGGGGAAUUUUGCGCAAUGGGCGAAAGCCUGACGCAGCAACGCCGCGUGAGUGAAGAAGGCCUUCGGGUCGUAAAGCUCUUUCGAUCGGAGUGAAGGGUGUGCCCGCGAAUAGUCGGCACAUCUGACGGUACCGGAAGAAGAAGCACCGGCUAACUACGUGCCAGCAGCCGCGGUAAUACGUAGGGUGCGAGCGUUGUUCGGAAUCAUUGGGCGUAAAGGGCGCGUAGGCGGGCAUGAAAGUCGAUUGUGAAAGCCCCGGGCUUAACCUGGGAAUGGCAGUCGAUACUCCAUGUCUUGAGUGCUUGAGAGGGUCAUGGAAUUCCAGGUGUAGAAGUGAAAUUCGUAGAUAUCUGGAGGAACACCGGUGGCGAAGGCGGUGACCUGGUGAGACACUGACGCUGAGGCGCGAAAGUGCGGGGAUCAAACAGG
rnacentral:rRNA from 1 species